rnacentral:rRNA from 1 species
UGAGGAAUUUUUCGCAAUGGGCGCAAGCCUGACGAAGCAACGCCGCGUGGAGGAUGAAGGUCUUCGGAUUGUAAACUCCUGUCGACCGGGACGAAUGCACCCGACCUAAUACGUCGAAGUGUUGACGGUACCGGUGGAGGAAGCCACGGCUAACUCUGUGCCAGCAGCCGCGGUAAUACAGAGGUGGCAAGCGUUGUUCGGAAUUACUGGGCGUAAAGGGCGCGUAGGCGGCCUUAUAAGUCUCGUGUGAAAGCCCUCGGCUUAACUGAGGAUCUGCACGGGAUACUGUAAGGCUCGAGUUCGGGAGAGGAGAGCGGAAUUCCGGGUGUAGCGGUGAAAUGCGUAGAUAUCCGGAGGAACACCAGUGGCGAAGGCGGCUUUCUGGACCGACACUGACGCUGAGGCGCGAAAGCUAGGGGAGCAAACGGGAUUAGAUACCCCUGUAGUCCCUGAGCGGGCUGGCAAGGCGCAU